rnacentral:rRNA from 1 species
AAACGGGGGCUAAUACGGGAUAGGUCGAAAGAUGAAAGGUUAACUGCCUGAAGAGGAGCUCGCGUCUGAUUAGCUAGUAGGUGUGGUAUGAGCGCACCUAGGCGACGAUCAGUAGCUGGUCUGAGAGGAUGAGCAUCCACACUGGGACUGAGACACGGCCCAGAUUCCUACGGGAUGCAGCAGUGGGGAAUUUUCCUCUAUGGGCGAAAGCCUGACGGAACAAGACCGCUUGGGGGAUGAACGCCUUUGGGUUGGAAACCCCUUUUGGUAGGUAAGAAAAAAAUGACCGUACCUUAUUUAUUCCCCUCCGCUAACUCCGUGCCAGCCGCCGCGGUUAUACCGAGGAGGGAAGCGGUUUUCGGAAUUAUUGGGCGUUAAGCGUCCGUAGGUGGCCCGGGAAGUCUGCUGGCAAAGACCACAGCUCAACUGUGGAAAGGCAGUGGAAACUGCCAGGCUAGAGUGCGGUAGGGGUAGAGGGAAUUCCCAGUGUAGCGGUGAAAUGCGUAAAGAUUGGGAAGAACACCGGUGGCGAAAGCGCUCUACUGGGCCGCAACUGACACUGAUGGACGAAAGCUAGGGGAGCGAAUGGGAUUAGAUCCCCC